GCUGUGGAAACCUCCUUGAUUGGUGGUAGAAGCGCUUCCGCAUUCAACACAUGCAUAUGCCCCUGUCCGUGGAGGUUACUGUGAACAAAACAGCGUGUCCAAAGCAACCACAUGUCUGGCUGAAUGAUCUAGCAUGGAAUAACAAGGCAUCGACCACUGGAGCCAGCCUUUUUGUUGGUUUUACAUGACCCAGUUGGGCAAUGCAGGGCUUGUGCUUCAUUGAGGUUCUUAGUCAGCUCUACCGAACUGUCUUCCCUCAGUUGGACCUUGUUCCCUAUCGGGAUCAAUGGAAGCCAUCGGGGUGGUAUGUAUUCCGACGUGAGCGGUGAAAAUGCUUAGACCGUUGGAAGACAAACGACAGCGAAGGCAUUCCGCCAGAAUGUUUUCAUUAAUCAAGAACGAGAGUGUGGGGAUCGAAGAUGAUCAGAUACCAUCGUAGUCCAUUACCGUAAACUAUGCCAACUCGGCAUUGGGAGUCUGUUCACUUUGAAGACUCUCCCAGCAUCAUCCCCCAAUAACGAGAAGUCCAAGUCUAUGGGUUCAGGGGGGAGUACAGUCGCAAGGCUGAAACUUAAAGGAAUUGACGGAAUGACACCACAAGGCGUGGAGUAUGCGGCUUAAUUUGACUCAACACGGGGAAGCUUACCAGGUCAGACACAGUAAGGAUUGACAGAUUGAGAGCUCUUUCUUGAUCCUAUGGAUGGUGGUGCAUGGCCGUUUCUGGUUCGUGGAGUGAUCUGUCUGCUUAAUUGCGAUAACGAACGAGAUCUCUACCUCUAAAUAGGCGCCGGUCUCGCAUGUAAGUAGGGAUGUGUUGGGGGCCUUCGUGUCCCCUCAUGUCCUGAGAGUGCCGGGAUCGCUUCUUAGACGGACUGUGCAUGUCUUUAAUGCACGGAAGAGGGAGUCAAUAGCAGGUCUGUGAUGCUCCUAGAUGUUCUGGGCUGCACGCGCACUACACUGGCACAGUAAACGAGUUGCACCUGCUUCGGCAGUCCUGCUUAGAAGUGAGCGUGGGAAAUCUUAGAAAACUGUGCCGUGCUGGGGAUAGAUGAUUGCGAUUAUUUGUCUUGAACGAGGAAUGCCUAGUAGAGGUACUUCAUCAGAGUACCUUGAUUGUGUCCCUGCCAUUUGUACACACCGCCCGUCGUUGCUACCGAUUGGCUGUAAAAUAGAGGCCUUAAGAGUCGCUUCCGCAAAGCUUUGCUUUUGAGGUUGUGACAAAUCUGGCCAAUAUUUCAUUGCUAGAGAAAGCAAAAGUCGUAACAAGG
rnacentral:rRNA from 1 species